CUUAGUGAGAGGUAAGAUGCCUUAAACUAUGGCUACACGUCAGUUUAUUAGCACAUUAUUUAGAUUUAUUUUAAGUUAUAAAAUACAGAAGUUUCUUGCGAGGAAUUUCAGUGAAGAAAUUCGUUAUGAAUUUCCCAAUUGGUAAAUUGGCUACAUAAC
rnacentral:ncRNA from 1 species